GAAUUAGUGCGCACGUCCCGUUUGAUUUGAUAAGAUGCGACGGCUGGUCGGUGGGUGGCGAGGCGGAGUUGGAGGAAGGCGACGACGGACUGCUGCUGUUUGGAGCAAAAGAUCCAUAAGUGCGAAUAUGGACUUCUUCCUGGAUCCACUCACCAGGCGAGUGUUCCUCCUUAGUCCCAACUGACGGCCAGUCUGCCGCGCUCGAUAGAUGUAUUCCGUUUAUUGGUUAUAAUUUGAUUGAUUGAUUGACGAGCCAUCCUGCAUGCCCUCCUCCGAUGAGAUUGACAUUGCCCGACGAGGUUGUCAACAAGAACCCGCCGAAUGUGUGUGCGUUUGAUGACCAGCCGGCGGAAUCGGAAUCUGGUCUCCCGCCCGUAGCUGUCGUCAGGAAGGUCACGCCGCCGGCAGAAGAAUUCGCCGGGGUUGAUCUUGAAGGCAAUGGAGCCCCAGCUAGUACUUCAGAGUAGUCAACUAACUCACAAUCUCACAUCGACCCUGAAGCUCCAGCUCCCGGUUGGACGAAGAGAUUUCAGUUGGCAACUCUGGACGUUCAACCUCGCCGUCCCGCAUGACUCUGCGUUAGCAUUCCGGUCCAAAUAUCAGUCAAUUUGCUUCUCAUUCAUCAAUCUCAGAUUGUUGCAUGCAUAGUUCAGUGGUCGAUCAACAAGGAUGUUCACAAUAAAUGAAGCAAGUGGCCACACUUGGUAGUUUUGAGAUAUCUGAAUCCGGUAAUCAAGACAUAUCUGAAUCAGACAAACGCCUUGUUCUUCAGUCAAAUAUGUGUCGCCUAGAUAAUGGAACUAUGGUCAGUCCGUCUGGAGUAUAUGCAUCUUCUAUCUGUCUUGAAGAUUAGGCUGCAGAUAAAGCAUUGAGAAGUAGCAGUGGACGUAAGCGACAAUGUGGCACUAACUGGUGCUCACACUUGCACCUGAAUGAAGAGAAUCAUACUGAAGGAGGUAUCUUGACAAUAUGGAGCAGGUAUCAUGACUAUGAAACAAGAAAGUCUCAUGGGGCAGGUUAUAGUAAUCACCUGAUACAGCUGAUCGGGCAAGUUGUAAUAGACAAAAUUCAAGAGCAUAUCAGUUUUGAAUCUGAAGACACAAUGUACAUGCCAGCUGAUUGUUUGCUGCUACCCAAGAUAUGUUUGAAACUGCAGUGCAUCUUGGCCAUGUUCACUGCUGGGUUCCUUCCAGCUCACCAAGCCCAAACCACCCGCAUCCAGACGCCCCUCAGCCGCCAAAGAGGGACGCGGCUGCCGGCUGCUGUUGCUUAGCAUGUGUCCCGGCAACCAACGUCUGGUGCGCUCUGACUGCAUGUCGGAUUGCAUGCAAGAGGAGCAGAGUCUGCUUUUGUAUCCUGUUUCCUGCUGCUUCCGUUUGAGAUUAGGUUCCUACUAGCUGUAGUUGCUCUUCAUUUGAUGUGCCCCUGGUCCGCUUGCUUCAUCUCUUCACAUGGCCUGGGCUGCCCCAUGUUUCCCGUAUUGCUGCCCCAUGGUUCUGUCAUGAACUGGAAUGUUCUAGGUCUAAAUAAUCCGGCAAGGAGAAAGGGGUUUCAUCUCAGAACAAUGCGUUUGUUUCUUGCCUUCAAGAAACCAAGCUAGACUUUAUUGAUUGUAGGCUUGUUGCUGAAAUUUUGGGGCCUCUUUUGCUGAUAAUUUUGGCUUCCUUCCGGGACGGCACAGGAGGUGGGAUUCUUCUUGCUGCUUCCCAGGAUUUCUUCUGAUUGUAGGAGAUCAGACACACUCCGCACACUAUCUCAGCCACCAUUUGUAUGUGUGCUAAUGAUUAUAAAUGGAGCAUUUCGGCCGUCUACGGACCUCAGUCUGAAACAGAUUAAAUUAUUUUCAUUGGUGAACUCAUGGGCUUGAAAAAUGCUGUCAGUGUUAGGUGACUUCAACCUGAUUUGUUGGGCUGCAGAUAAAAGUAUAGCAUAUGAUAAUAAAUAGGCGCCUCAUCAACGCUUUCAGAGCUGCUCUGAACUUGAUGGAGGUCUCUGAAAUGCGGCUGCAUGGAAGGCGUUUCACUUGGACUAGCACCUGUCUGCAGCAAACCAAAACCAAGAUCGAUCAUGUUUUCCACACCGCUGAGUGGGGUCUUCUAUUCCCCCAGUGCCUCCUCCAGGCCAUUACUUCCUCUUUCUCAGACCACUGUGCUAUGAUCCUGCCGGGUCAGCUCAGCUGUGUAACCUUCAAGGGCUUCCGUUUUGAAAAGUAUUGGACGAGAUUUCACAGCUUUCAGGACUCUGGUUUGGCUUCCUGGAUCAAGCCAGUGUUCUCCACUUCAAGCUGUCAAGGUUGGUCAAGGCUCUUCGCAUCUGGAGCAGGGCUCGCGUCGAGGAUUACUGUCCAAUCAGUCUGAUACACUCGGCAAAAAAAAAAGUGCAACUUACUCACCAACCGCUAUUCCUUGCCUGCAUGACAUCAUCCCCAACUCCCAGAGCGUUUUCAUCAAGCGGCGCAUGAUUUAAGAUAAUUUCCUGUCUGUCAGAAAUGUUGUCCGGCCUCUCCACAAGAGAAAAUGCCAUGCUCUUCUUCUCAAGCUUGAUAUUGCGGGUGAUUUCCUUUCGGAUUCUUGGGAGUUCCUUCUUGAGGUUAUGGAGAGACUUGGCUUCAUCAUUCGCUGGCGUGACUCGUUGGCGCUGCUUUGGAACUCUUCUUCUUCAAAGAUCUUGGCUAACGGACAAGUUGGAAGGCGCUUUCUCCAUCGUUGAGGCCUGCAGCAGGGGACCCUGUUUCCCUGAUGCUUUUCACCAUCGCCAUUGCUCCUCUUCAGUAGCUUUUUUGCUGAAGCUGCUGCUUCACAUGUGAUGUCUGACCUCAACCUACCCCCAUCAAACUUGAGAGUGAGCCUAUAUGCAGACACAGCUCUAUUCAUGAAGCCCUCGGCGAUUGAUAUCACUACCACGAGCCAGCUGCUGCUGCUCCUCGGCCAGAGUCCAGAAAAGUGCAAUAAAUCCUAGGAGUAUUAGCUACACAGAUAUUGACCUGCAUCAACUCCUACAGGAAUUCCCGUUCCCUAUCUGCAACUUCCCAUGCAACUACUUCACUUGGGGCUACCCCUACACGUCAAGAAGAUUACCAGGGGUGACCUGCAGCCCAUCAAAUACAAUAAGCUACGCGGAAGGGGCGGUCGAUGGCGCUGUCCACGUCAUCCUUGAUUUUACUGCACGUCUCCUCCUCGCUUCGAUCCGUCCUUCCGAACCCCCGAAGAUCCAACCUCAGCUCAUGCUCGUGCUGCUCCCGCCCCACGACGUCGUCUGCGUCGAACUGAAAGCCCACGGAGGACGGGGACGAGUUCGGGGUGGAGAUGUGGGUCGUUUUCUUUGUAUCUCCCGCUGAAGAGUUUGAAGGAGUUUCAGAUGUCAAUGAAUGUGUGGAGAGUCCAAGCCCCUGCCAUGGCUCUGCAACUUGCCACAACACAGUUGGAGUUCCAUUGUUCAUGCCCUUUUGUCACCAGUUUUGCUAAGGAAACAAACUCCUGCGCCAAUCAGUUUAUAAGUCAGGACAAUGGAUAUGAGGAGAAUCAAGGUGCAGCUUCUACUUAUUGUCACAAAAGGGUCACAAAAAGAAACACACUAUUCAAUAGAGGAUUAAUGGUUUAGGACCUGUCUUAUGGUCCGCAAUGUUCACCUCCUCUGUUGCGGUGGAAGCCGAAAAUGCUAGAAAAGCAGUGAUGCAGAAGAACUCGCAGUGUUCUUCUGGUUAUAUAUAUUGCCUUCGUGAGGUUCGUUCGAAGUGGUUGGAAUGAACAGAUCCGAACACGCCUUGGCAUGGCAUUGAGCUACAAGGAUGACUCCUCUUUCUUCGACGCCCCCACCUGUGUUCAGCUUGGCAAUGGCAGGAAGCGAGCUUCGGGAACUCCCAUUGGCUUGAUAGUCAGGCUCCUCGGCUUCUUGCUCCUGAACUCUUCCAACUUUGCCCUCGUAAGAACAUCCCAGUGGCUGACGGUUUGAACAAUGGGAGAUGGACGCGUGGCUUCCACAUGAUCGUCAACGCCAAUCAGCUUUGACAGUUAACAAAUCCUCUUGCUCCUGAUCUUUUUCUUUUGUUACAAGUUCUGUAACUUGAACUAUUUCCCUCCUAUAUAAUGCAUCGGCAAUACAACCCCAGCUUUACCUCAAAA